rnacentral:lncRNA from 1 species
AAGUUUAGUUCCACUUCUACAGGAACCAGAAGACAGAUGUUUCUUCAAAAUGCCCGUCAACGUUACCCGCUGAUCCUCUAACCACAUGCCCUGAGAGCUUUGCUAGAAAUGAGGGUCACAGUGUAAUGGGAAAAGACGUCAAAGAAGAGCAAAACCGUCUCCGAGGAUUUGAGUGCUCUCAAGGCCUGUGGACCCAUAGGAUGUGGAGUCCGGUUGACGAAUGUUCUGUAGGCAGUCGGGACUCACUGUCGGAGAGCAGCUGUUCCAAACUGGACAAUGUCUCUGAAAAACAGGACAGGGAGAGGUGCAAUUAGUUUUUUAUUUCACAAUGAAUCUGUGGAUGACUGAUGAAGUAAAUGAUCCAUAAAUGUCUGAUGUAAUUUCAUACAAUGGAUUUUAAGAUGCAGUUGUUGAGUAAAGUGUUGAUUAACACAUAAUGUUUUCCCAGCUGUAUCGGCCAGAGGGCUCAAACAACCCCUGUUUCCUCUCAAGAAUGUCUCAGACUCAAGCUGUUGAAGGAGUCGACAACAUCCACUGGAAUGGUAAUACAAUUUCAAGAUUUGAUUAACACAUAAUGUUUUCCCAGCUGUAUCGGCCAGAGGGCUCAAACAACCCCUGUUUCCUCUCAAGAAUGUCUCAGACCCAAGCUGUUGAAGGAGUCGACAACAUCCACUGGAAUGGUAAUACAAUUUCAAGAUUUUUUUCAUUACAGUGCACUAAACUGAUUUAUAAAAGAUCUCACUUAUCUCUUUCCAUCGCCUUUUGUAAACUGAAUAAAGAAUGAAGAGCAUGACUGCUCAAAGCAAAGGCAAGACCACAAAAUAGAGGAGCUCCUAAGCCAGGUGGAGGUCCUUUGGGAUGCUCUGCAGAAGAAAUAUGGAGAGAACAAUAAGACCGAACCAGCGGAAAAAGAACAAUCCGGAGAUAAAGCUGCACAGAUGGUGUCAGAUCUCACAGUUUCAAACCAUCUCCCAGAAAAUGUAGAGGAAUGCAGUUCAGGAAUGCUCGAAAAGUUCCUUGAACUGCUGGAUCACAGUGGUUGUCACAAAAUAAGUCAGGAUUUUCCUGGAUCUCUGCAAAGGCAAGAUAUAGACGAGGCUGCAGAAAUGUCACUAAAUCUAAUGAGUCAUCAAACUGAACAAGAAAGACCCCGGAAGCAGGACCAGAUCACUAAUGAUCUACAAAGCUCGGUAAAAAAUGAGUUUGUUUCACAAAGCAAUGUCCAAUAUCAACGUGAUU